rnacentral:lncRNA from 1 species
GAAGGAACGCUGCCAGGCCGAGCGACAGCAGGGCGGGACUACGGACUACCACCGUGGUCUCUCCUUCGGACGCCCCGCACCCCUACCCACUGUUCAGCCUAGUCACUCUCCCAACACUGCUCCAGCCGGGCCAUUCCACUCCAGCCAUAGCAGUCUCCUUGGGUGUGCGCCUUCCUCAUGGUGUGCUGUAGCUCUUUCUCUGGAGCCAAGCAGGUGUCAUCAAAUAGUCGAAGGUCUGUCCCCUCAGAAUGCAAGGAUCUCUCACUGGACAUGGGCUGACUACCCCUGAGCAAGGAAGCUGAGUAGGUGAAGAAAGGUGCCUCAGCCUCAGGAGUUUGGUCUUACUGCUUGUAUGAGGUUUGGUAUUGAAGAAGACAACACCGGGCUGCUGUAAACCACAGGGAGGAAGCAGCUAUGGCAAGAGGCCCAGGCCUCAGAAUGCAGCCUGUGCUGUGGUGUACUGAUUCCUGAAUGCAGAGCUCUAACUCCUCCCUCGAGGUGCCCGAGAGACUACAGCAACCAGUAAUCUGUCUCAGCUAGACAUUCUGACCUGUCUUUUUAACAAGUUAUGGGUAUUUUGCCUGUGCCACCACGCCCGGC